AUNGCAGAAAGCAUUUAUCAAUUUUUAACAUUUGAACUAAACAUUUGAUCAUGUUUCGUUUACCGUAUGGCGAGAGAGUCGACCCUUUGGAAGAAAAGCGUCAAGCUCGGGAGAAUACAAUUAAUAGUGUUAUAACUUUCUGUGUGUUAUGCGCUGCUAUUAGAAUCGCUCCACUGAUCCUGGAACAAGGCGGUUUUCAAGUGUAACUAGAUAUGAAGUCAUUAUAAUUUUAUUAUAGUGUGUCGCUGUAAAAUUGUGAACUCCCAUCAGAUUAUGAUUUGACAUUAGUCAGAUUAUUAUCUAACCUAACCCACUGUUUAGUUUACAAUCUCAUGCAAUAUAUUAUUAACUGAUGGGAGUUCACGAUUUCACAGUGCUUUAAACACAUGUUACACACAUAGGUUUAUAGUAAAUGUAGUAAAUUUAUUGUAGUUGAAUUGUUGAUUUUAAGAUAAACAAAAAAAACAAU